rnacentral:rRNA from 2 species
UGACCUCAAAUCAGGUAGGACUACCCGCUGAACUUAAGCAUAUA